GUGAAAUCUAGUCCUAUAAACAAGAAAGUUCCAUGACUACUCAUUUGUACUCUUGUUUUAAAAAGAAGUCCUUGGUGAAUAAGGCAAAGCCUACUGCCAAUGCUCUGAGGCAAGCCGUAAUCAAUUAAAGACUCACUUGUGAAGGAGCCAUUGUUUGCAGUUCCAUUCAGACAUUGCUGACUUGUCUUUUAGACUGCUUGUGCGGAAGCCCUGACAUGAGGAAUAAAAGUUAUUCAGUAAUGAAAGUAAACCCACAGAGACACUUCUAGGCAGAAAUGGGCC